rnacentral:rRNA from 1 species
AACAGGAUUAGUUACCCUGGUAGUCCACGCCCUAAACGAUGUCAACUAGCUGUUGGGGCCUUCGGGCCUUGGUAGCGCAGCUAACGCGUGAAGUUGACCGCCUGGGGAGUACGGCCGCAAGAUUAAAACUCAAAGGAAUUGACGGGGACCCGCACAAGCGGUGGAUGAUGUGGAUUAAUUCGAUGCAACGCGAAAAACCUUACCUACCCUUGACAUGUCUGGAAUUCCGAAGAGAUUUGGAAGUGCUCGCAAGAGAACCGGAACACAGGUGAUGCAUGGCUGUCGUCAGCUCGUGUCGUGAGAUGUUGGGUUAAGUCCCGCAACGAGCGCAACCCUUGUCAUUAGUUGCUACGAAAGGGCACUCUAAUGAGACUGCCGGUGACAAACCGGAGGAAGGUGGGGAUGACGUCAAGUCCUCAUGGCCCUUAUGGGUAGGGCUUCACACGUCAUGCAAUGGUCGGGACAGAGGGUCGCCAACCCGCGAGGGGGAGCCAAUCCCAGAAACCCGAUCGUAGUCCGGAUCGCAGUCUGCAACUCGACUGCGUGAAGUCGGAAUCGCUAGUAAUCGCGGAUCAGCAUGUCGCGGUGAAUACGCUCCCGGGUCUUGUACACACCGCCCGUCACACCAUGGGAGUGGGUUUUACCAGAAGUAGUUAGCCUAACCGUAAGGGGGGCGAUUACCACGGUAGGAUUCAUGACUGGGGUGAAGUCGUAACAAGGUAACC